GACGAACGCUGGCGGCGUGCUUAACACAUGCAAGUCGAGCGGUAAGGCCCUUUCGGGGGUACACGAGCGGCGAACGGGUGAGUAACACGUGGGUGACCUGCCCUCAGCUCUGGGAUAAGCCUGGGAGACCGGGUCUAAUACUGGAUAUGACUCCAUGACGCAUGUUGUGGGGUGGAAAGCCUUGUGCGGCUGAGGAUGGGCCCGCGGCCUAUCAGCUUGUUGGUGGGGGAUGGCCUACCAAGGCGACGACGGGUAGCCGGCCUGAGAGGGCGACCGGCCACAC
rnacentral:rRNA from 1 species